CUCGCCGCCCUUUGUGAAGCCCAAAACUGAUGGGGUGAGUCUGGUUCUGAGCUCCCAAAACACAGCCAAGGGUCUCUGUGAGGCACAGCUGCAGGACUGGGGCUCAGCUCCGAGCCCCCAAAGGCAGCGCCGGCUGACUCUGGGAGCUCCCCAGCAGCCGCUCAGUCACUUCGCACCUCGCAGCGGGAUCAGGAGGGGAAUCAGAAACAAUAAAUACAUAAUAAUGGAACAAUAGUGACAGUACAUGACAGUACAAUGGGAGGAAGAGGGAUAACAACCAUGAUGAAGAGAUUAAAAACCAAAUUUUGUUUAUACAUACACACCUCAGAAAUUUUAUUAAAACCAGUUUCAUUAAUUCCUGAUAGAUAUCAGGUCAAACAGUAUUUGGGAAGUCUUUUGUCCUUCAGCAGAAUGCUUCUUCAAAGGAACUGGAUAAACUGUCAUUGGUCAUCAAAAGUAACUGUUCUUGAAAUAUCAGGGGUGAAAUUUCAGCCAUUUUAAAGGUCAGGUGCUGCCUCCAGUUGUGUUUCUGCCAGAGCAGAGACUUCUGGUGUUCCUAGAAAGCCACAGCUGAUUUUGAAACGUGGAAUGUUUUGUGAAGGUGGUGAUUUCUGAUGUGUCUGCAUCCUGCAGUGUAGAUUUCAGUGUGGAAUCUGCAGCAGGGAUGGAAUUGUCACCCAUUUAUAAAAAGGCACGGAACAGCGGUGUGCCUGAGCUGAAUUCUUCUGUUAAACUGCAUUUACCAUAAAUUUGAUCCAGUUGAGAAUUUAUAUUUUGAUGCCUGUUGCAUAAUGCCUGUAUCCAGUGGGAAGUCUCCAAGAGAGGAGCUCCUCCUCCUGCCUCAGGAGAAGGGGCUGCUGGAACGUCUCGGCCAGCAAAGCUGUGCUGGACUGCACUGACAGGAAAGCCCCCGUUGGUUUGGGGGCUCAUUGCGCCAGGUGCUGAGGGUGGGAAUGAGUUCUUGAGCUGUGAGGAGCUUGCAGCAAGUGCCCUCUGCUCUCUGAGCCCCAGUGAGUGAAUAUGGGCUUGUUAACCCUGCAGUAAGAACUGUGCCAAGGUUUAUUCCAGCGUGGUGUCUUUGAACAGGCUGCAGAAUGUGCUGGGAAAUUGUUCCUCUUCCACUCUUCUCUGCCAACUGCAGAAGCACCAGGGAAGCUGAAAAACAGAGAUGACAAGAAACUGCUCAACACAGUUAAGGAAAAGCAUGGAGUGCAAGGCAGUUGUAUAAAGAGGUGUUGCUGCUGGACACUGACCUGUGCCUUCAUUUUUGUACUCAAGUGACAUUACUUAUAUGGCAAUUGUUAUUGCUGUGGCAUUCCUUGUGACCUCUCUAUACAAGAGCAGUUCUCCAUUGCUAAACCUCACUUCCCCCUCUACAGACUGUAGGAGUUUUUAUGAUGUUAAUAUGAAUAACUUAUUCUAUAAUGUCUGAGAGGUGUCCCCAAGACCCACAGGUGUGCUGGUGCUACAGCUGCCAGCAGCACUGCCAGGAGCUUUUUGCUUUCAAAACUGCUCAAGAGCCAACCUGCCCAGCACACCCAGCAUUCCAGCCAGCUUCUUGUAAGCAGCACUGUCAGAGUGCACAGAAUUCUCCAGCUGCUGGCUGAUUUACACCCAGUCACCUGCUCCUGCCCAGGGUCUUCAGUUCCCUCUGAAGCCAAAUGCUGAGACCUUGUCAGUGCAGGUGUUGAAUCCUUCUCUGAGUUCUCAGGGGGCAAGACAAUGCAAUGACUCCAAGCCUCCUCCAGAAUGGAAAGACAGGACAGGCACCCCAAAUCAGCCUGGAGGCGUUGUGCAUUUAAUAAAAGUGGAAAGGAAGAAACUCAUCAGGCUUUUUUAUCUUCCAAGAGAGCAUGCUCAAAUGAAGUCUUCGUUUACUUGUGCUAAGUGGAAUAAAUAUUCCAUUAGCUCAGUGAUUCUGAGCCUUAUCCUCCCCUUCCUCUGGAAGUGCAACAAGUGAGAAAUUAACUGACAGCCACUAAUGGGAUUAAAAGCUUUUCAUCUCUAGUCACCAUUUCUGUGUGGUCCAAAUCCCAGUGACCAAGAAAAUGGCCUGAUGUUCUUCCUGUAUAAUGGGGCAUGUGGGACUGUGUCUCACUCCAGUACUUCCCAAGUGUGAUCUCUCCCCAUAGGGACAUGGGCCAGGAUUUGGGAGCGCGCUGCCCUGCCCUGCUGCCUUACCUGUGCAGCCUUGGUCAGUCUGUCACUGCUCAAGUGCCACCUUCAGACGAGCAGGGGUAGUGCUGUUCUUCAUGGCGGACAAUGCAGAGCUGGAGUUCCUUGUCCAUUAACCUCAAUUAAAACAUUCCAUCAGUUGCUCAUUAACAACACAGACAUCAGACUUUGCAGGCAAAGGUGCCCAUCCACACAGCUCUAAUCUAACACUUGCUGCAGCACUAUUCUUUUUUUUUUUCCUUACAGUAACUGAGCUGUUUCUGCUUUGAGGGGAGGAACCAAGAAACCUCCAUCACCUGCCACUUCUUUCCAGUCAGUGACGUCUUCAGCAGCACCGCAGCUUCUACAAACUGAUACAGAAGCACAUCAGAUCCCCUUGUUUUGAACCCUCCUCUUCCCUUUAGCCCAAGUGUAUGUUAAGAGCAGCCCAUUCACUGAACUACCAGUAUUGGGCAUGGAACUGAAAGGGGGAAAUGGAAAUUAGCGUUUUCUAUUCAGUGAACAACAAGAAAAUAUUUGUCCAUGGCACAAAAGCAGUGUUCCUAAGGUAAAGUGCCAUUACUUUUUCAAUAACAACACAAUCAGGGCAAAAAUCACCAAAUAAGAAGUGUCCCUACUAGGGCAUUUACCUUCUCUCUGUUCCUUAUAGCCUAUGGCAAACUUCACCAGUGACCAAAUGAACUUUACCUUUACAACUCCCCCAAAUCCAGUCACUCUCCAGAUGUGCACAUAUGACAGAGGAAGAAACAAGCUGUAAACAGGCAGUUUCCAUUGGCACCACGGCAAUCCCUGCUCAACACUACCAAAGCCAGGGAGUUCCCCAGCCUGUCAAAACCUUCCAAAUCAAAAGAACAGUUCCAGUCUACAGCAGCACAGAGGAAACCACUUGGCAAUUCCAAAACCUCAAGGAGAACAAACCCACAAAAUAUUAAGAAAGAUAUUUCCACAUCAGCUUUGAUAAACAUGUUUAAUAAUCUGCUACUUUACAGGACAGUCACUUAAAAGCUGGGCUUUGAGAGCAACACUGAGACUUGAACGCCGCUUUUCCAAAACCCACACCUCAGACCCUGAGACAUCAAAAGCCGGGUUUGUUCAGCCUACCAAGAACCACACGAGAAGCUCAGAGCUGUGGUUCUGCUAAAAACAGACAUUGUACAUAGGGAAAGGAGUCAGUGUCCUUCCACACUGCACUGGAUCAGCAACAGCCCUUCCCAGAUGUGUGCACCACCCUCAGGCAGAGGCAGCGCUCAGUUCCAGCCGUGUUCCACAGGCUCACACCGCUCUGUGUGCAGUCCUUGCUCUGCAGUGACGCUGCUCCUCCCUCCCUCCGGG